GUCUCUGAGGAUGAAUAGAAUUAUACUUUCGUUCUUCCAAGAUAUUUCAUGCGGAAAAUUUAUUGGAGACCUGAACUGAAGAGGC